AAAAACAGUUGCUCAUUCUUUGUCUACUUAUCUCACUAUUCGGCAAUGCAUAUACGUCCUAAUCUUUGUUUUGCUUAUCUUAGUUAUUCUAUCUCUCUCCCUUACCUAAAAAGCUGGCUUCAAAGGACUUGACGGAUCGUUUAUAAAACAGACUAGUCAUAAACAUAGAUUUAUAUUCGAGAUGGCUUCAAAUACGAAUCUUAAACUGUUUAUAGUAUAUAUAGUAUCUAAUAGCUGCGGGUGUUGUGAAAGGGAACUUAGUGUUGACCAUGGUCAUGGAGUUUAACCAAGAAGUUUGUUGAACCAAGGAUUCACACAAUAGAUUUGUUUAGAGAGGGAAAACAAAUCUAGUAAUUUCUCUUCAUUAGGUAUUCUAUCCAAGACUCGAUUACAAGAGGGGUUCUAAUCUCUUAUGAAAUACAUUAGGGUUUUGCUCAAGAACAGAAAAAGAAUUAGAGUUUUAAAAAGGUAUAGCUGCAUCCAUGAUGGAUUGCCUACGUACCCUGUGAAGGGAUCAAGCCAUUCGUAGUUUUCAAUAGGUAUAAAGUUCUAUGUUUCUUGUGAAUAUCCCAAGAUCUCCCCCUUUUUGUGAAGUCCCUAAGGCACUUUAUAUAGGAUCCUUAAACCGCCUCCCUAGCGAUAUUCUUCGGAAGAUUCUUAUUUAUCCUUAGGUCGGUUCUAGAGGAUAAUCGUCCUAAGGAUAUUCUCCUUAUUCUUCGGAGGUUUUGGGGAGAUUUCCUGAUUUCGACAUUAUCUUCAAAGAUUCUCCUUUAUCAUUUCUGAAAGUCCCAUAAAAGAUCCCAUUUUACCGGAAAUGAUCCUUGGAGAAUGAAUGGUUUUUACAAGUCUUUGCCUCGCGUGUUCUUCACGGCUCGGUGGUCGUUUGAGAGGUGGCUUCGGGGCAAACGGUAUGUACCGGCUCGGGGCGCGCUUGAUGACUGUCCAUUAAGCUCAGUUGGCUGUCUCCCGAGCCGAUAUAGAUGUUUCCCGCAGCGUUCUCACGAUUGGUUCGGGCUGUGUUCAUAUGAUUAACACCCGAGCCAUUUUACAAACUCUCUUCGGGACGGUCGAUCGAAUAAGGUCCCGAGGUGCUUUGUUCUAGGCUAGGGGCCAAUCAUAUGUUUAACCAUGAGGUGAUUGUUAUUCUUAGACUGUUUGGCUCGGUCUUGCUUGUGGGGGAAUCCGACCCCAACAAAGUUGUACCUUGACGGAAGAGAGCACGAAUGGGAUCGGUGCGGGUGUCUGGAAAGUGCCUGAAGAAGGUUCAUGUGAUGAUCAAACUCUGGAAUGCUACUGGGAGUACUGACUGUACCAAAACCUCCUCCAACAGUGCCACAGGGAACAAGCAAGCCCCAUAUCAAUGUGUGAUGAAGUUGAAGGAGCAGGGUCGUAAGGUGGACUUCCACAGUUAGAAGGAGGCUUGUGUGAUGGAGGAGCUCCAUAUCCUUCGUCAUAGUACUGAUUUCCGGAUCUGAAUAAAGAAGCAUGGCAUCAUUUGGAAGUAAGAGAUCACAUGAGAAUACCAUCCCUAGAACCGAGAGAGAAAAGUUUAUGUUAAUAAAUUUUUAUUGUAUAAUUGAUAUUGAAAAACAUUAAUAAACAUUAAUAAACAGUGUUCACAUAAGGUGUAAAUUCACCCCAAAAGCACUCUAAAAAGUAAAAACCAAAAGAGAAAAAAACAUAGAAAUGGUUACUUAAUAAUAUACCGAGUUUCAUCUAUUUACUUAAUAAUAUACGGUUAUUUGAUUUAC
rnacentral:sRNA from 1 species